rnacentral:rRNA from 1 species
GACGAACGCUGGCGGCGUGCCUAAUACAUGCAAGUAGGACGCAGUUGCGAACGUGAGAGUUAGGCGUAGGGAACUGCCUAUUAGAGGGGGAUAACUAUUGGAACCGAUAGCUAAUACCGCAGACUAGUAGAUUGAGCUGCGUUGUAUUAGCUAGUAGGUAGGGUAAAGGCCUACCUAGGCAAAGGUACAUAGCCUAGCCGGAGGGGGUGUCCGCCAACACGGGAAUGAGAAACGGGCCCAACUGCCUACGGAGGCAGGAAGUGGGGAAUUUCGGAAAUGGGGGGAACCCUGACCGCAGAACGCCGCGGUGGUUAAGAAGGUUUUCGGAGCGUAAAAGUACGUUGUUAAGGGAGCGGUACUUAACCAGGAAGGGACGGCUAACUACGUGCCAGCAGCCGCGGUAAUAC